GACGAACGCUGGCGGCGUGCCUAAUACAUGCAAGUUGAGCGCUGAAGGUUGGUACUUGUACCAACUGGAUGAGCAGCGAACGGGUGAGUAACGCGUGGGGAAUCUGCCUUUGAGCGGGGGACAACAUUUGGAAACGAAUGCUAAUACCGCAUAAAAACUUUAAACACAAGUUUUAAGUUUGAAAGAUGCAAUUGCAUCACUCAAAGAUGAUCCCGCGCUGUAUUAGCUAGUUGGUGAGGUAAAGGCUCACCAAGGCGAGGAUACAUAGCCGACCUGAGAGGGUGAUCGGCCACAUUGGGACUGAGACACGGCCCAAACUCCUACGGGAGGCAGCAGUAGGGAAUCUUCGGCAAUGGACGAAAGUCUGACCGAGCAACGCCGCGUGAGUGAAGAAGGUUUUCGGAUCGUAAAACUCUGUUGGUAGAGAAGAACGUUGGUGAGAGUGGAAAGCUCAUCAAGUGACGGUAACUACCCAGAAAGGGACGGCUAACUACGUG
rnacentral:rRNA from 1 species